UCAAUUAAAUAUAUUUUUAUCUUUUUUUUCUACCAGAGAAAACCCACAUCUUAAAAACCAUAUAUGGUUGAAAUUAAUGAAAAUGCGGCAAUAAAAUACAGUGUGGCUGACAAAUUAUUAGAAAAAAGCUUCAUAAUUAUUAAACUUACAGGAAAUUAAGUACAAAGACUAUUAUGCAUGCACGGCCUAGUAAAUAUUUAAAUCCGAAGGAAAUUAAGCAACAAGAAGAGUGAUGAGGGAUCAGGGAAAAGGAUUUUGAGACUGGAGAUACUGAGAUAGAGUGAAUAAAGAGAGCUUAUUCAGCCUAGCUAUUAUCUAUCAGUAUAUGUAUGCAUAUCUAGCUAAUUCUCCUGAGCACGAUCAGUACGAGGGAGUGCAGGCAAUGCAGGCAAGCAAGAGAAUAGCUGAGGAAGCGCCAUCUUCUUCGAGAUUGGAGCUGCUCCUCUUGAACUUGCAAGUUUUUCCUUUGUUACAUUGAAUUUGCUUCUGCGUAUGCUGCUGGCAGUGACUGUGUUGUUGAUAGUUGCAAUUCUCCCUUCCCUUGUGCUGUUCUUGCUGCCUCUUCUUCAUGGCUUAACUUCUUUAUUUAGGCUCUUCUUCUCCUUUGUAGAGGAAACUCGGCGGUACUCACUAUGACUACCUGACACUUCGAAGAAGAGAGGAGAGGGGGCUGUGCAUGGUGAACGGGCGUCCAAGGUCUCAUUUUAUAGCUCCUAUUUAUACCAUAAUGCCCUUGAAUCCUAUCCAUAUUCACCUUAGAGGACUCACCGUGGGACCCUGGGAGUUGGGAUCUCCAAGUCUCCUGCCGACCUAUAUUACACUUAGCAUGUGUUUUCUACGUGGAGAGAUGAAUGACAUG
rnacentral:lncRNA from 1 species